CCCAGACUCCUACGGGAGGCAGCAGUGGGGAAUAUUGCACAAUGGGCGAAAGCCUGAUGCAGCAACGCCGCGUGAAGGAAGAAGGGUUUCGGCUCGUAAACUUCUAUCAACAGGGACGAAAGAAAUGACGGUACCUGAAUAAGAAGCCCCGGCUAACUACGUGCCAGCAGCCGCGGUAAUACGUAGGGGGCAAGCGUUAUCCGGAUUUACUGGGUGUAAAGGGAGCGUAGACGGCGAAGAAAGUCUGGAGUGAAAGCCCGCGGCUUAACCGCGGAACUGCUUUGGAAACUUUUUGGCUGGAGUACCGGAGAGGUAAGCGGAAUUCCUAGUGUAGCGGUGAAAUGCGUAGAUAUUAGGAGGAACACCAGUGGCGAAGGCGGCUUACUGGACGGUAACUGACGUUGAGGCUCGAAAGCGUGGGGAGCAAACAGGAUUAGAUACCCGCGUAC
rnacentral:rRNA from 1 species